rnacentral:rRNA from 1 species
GCAAGUCGAACGCUUCUUUCCUCCCGAGUGCUUGCACUCAAUUGGAAAGAGGAGUGGCGGACGGGUGAGUAACACGUGGGUAACCUACCCAUCAGAGGGGGAUAACACUUGGAAACAGGUGCUAAUACCGCAUAACAGUUUAUGCCGCAUGGCAUAAAAGUGAAAGGCGCUUUCGGGUGUCGCUGAUGGAUGGACCCGCGGUGCAUUAGCUAUUUGGUGAGGUAACGGCUCCCCAAGGCCACGAUGCAUACCCGA